AGCAUCAUCAAUAGACUAUACCACUUUGAAGACAGAGAUUCAGGCAAUGAAGAUAAAAUAUCUAAUCUUAAAAAUAAACUUAAUCAUGGAGAAAAGAUGUUAAGAGACCAUGAACAGUAUUUUCAAGAAAUAUGGAGAGAGAUCCAAGGCGGUAGAAUAGAGGAUGUCACGUUCCUGGCUGCUCUGUGGCAUGAAACCUCUGCAAGCACAACUAAGUACAGCAAGUGGUCAUUUCUCCCUCGAUAUUUGUAUCUGCAGUUUAGCAAAGCUGCUAAUGCAUUUUUUUUGUUCAUUACCAUAUUGCAGGUAAUAUUUUUGUACAUGUUAUUAAACUAAGAUUCUUAAGACAUCUAAGAAAACCCUUGUAAAAGUUCAUUUAGCUGAAAUAAAGGUUUCCAUAGACAAUAAACUGAAAUACUGUAAGAAGAGAAUUUGUAUUACAAUGUUUAAGUCAUUCAGUGAGACACUGAAACUCAAUUUUUGGGCUGAAAAACACAUGGAUGCAACUUUCAUCGUGUAUGCCUCCUUUAUAAUGGAAUAAUUUAUUCAUAUUUUGAAAGGAACAAUUGAAAGGAAACCAAACAAUAAUUUUAAAUAGCAUCUGUUCAAAAGAGUUAAAUUCAAAGUUUUCCACAAUCUGGUUCAUUCCUGUUUACUUAUGAAGCCCACAAUCAAAAUAAUCUCUUCAUAAUUUUCUGGUUUUUUUUCUAUUUCCAGACUUUGACCCUUAGUGUUAGAGGAGGAGAAAUCUGAUAUUAAGUCUGUAGCCUUUGGGCACAGGACAUAGCAAAACAUAAAAAACCUGGAAGCUUUGGUUGCAUUUCAGGAGGAAAAUCACUGUAUUAGUCAACUUUGCAUUAAUACAGUGAAGUAUCUGAAGCAACUGACUUUAGAAAAUAGGCAUUAUUAUUGCUGUGGGUAUAUACAUGACUGCAUGACCAAUGUAAUUCUGCAACCUAUACACUCAGAAAAAUGAGAAAUUAUAUCCCAUCUGAUUCAAACGUAUGAUAUGUCAAGAUCAUUGUACUGUCAUGUGUAACUAAUAAAAACGAAUUUAAAAAAAG
rnacentral:lncRNA from 1 species